rnacentral:tRNA from 1 species
CCUUGGUUAGCUUAGUUGGUAGCGCGUCUGCCUUGUAAGCGCUAGGCCGCGGGUUCGAUUCCCGCCCGGGGC